UAUCAAUAAGCGGAGGAAAAGAAACCAACAGGGAUUGCCCCAGUAACGGCGAGUGAAGCGGCAACAGCUCAAAUUUGAAAUCUGGCGCAAGCCCGAGUUGUAAUUUGUAGAGGAUGCUUCAGGGCAGCGGCCGGUCUAAGUUCCUUGGAACAGGACGUCAUAGAGGGUGAGAAUCCCGUAUGCGACCGGUUGGCACCCGUCACGUAGCUCCUUCGACGAGUCGAGUUGUUUGGGAAUGCAGCUCUAAAUGGGAGGUAAAUUUCUUCUAAAGCUAAAUACCGGCCAGAGACCGAUAGCGCACAAGUAGAGUGAUCGAAAGAUGAAAAGCACUUUGGAAAGAGAGUUAAAAAGCACGUGAAAUUGUUGAAAGGGAAGCGCAUGCAACCAGACUUGUCGGCGGUGUUCCGCCGGUCUUCUGACCGGUCCAUUCGCCGCCGACAGGCCAGCAUCAUCUGGGCGCGCCGGAUAAAGGCGUAGGGAAUGUGGCUCCUCGGAGUAUUAUAGCCCCGCGCACAAUACGGCGCCGCUCGGGUGAGGUCCGCGCUUCGGCUAGGAUGCUGGCGUAAUGGUUGUCUGCGGCCCGUCUUGAAACACGGACCAAGGAGUCUAACAUCUAUGCGAGUGUUCGGGCGUCAAACCCCUACGCGUAAUGAAAGUGAACGGAGGUGGGAAGCGCAAGCUGCACCAUCGACCGAUCCUGAUGUCUUCGGAUGGAUUUGAGUAAGAGCAUAGCUGUUGGGACCCGAAAGAUGGUGAACUAUGCCUGAAUAGGGUGAAGCCAGAGGAAACUCUGGUGGAGGCUCGCAGCGGUUCUGACGUGCAAAUCGAUCGUCAAAUUUGGGUAUAGGGGCGAAAGACUAAUCGAACCAUCUAGUAGCUGGUUCCUGCCG
rnacentral:rRNA from 1 species